GACCACUCUAGUGGCCUAGUGGUUAGAGCAUCUGUCUCUGAUGUGGGAGGUCGUGGGUUUGAUCCCCAACCAAGUCA